rnacentral:lncRNA from 1 species
AUAAUAAAAAAAGAUAAUAAUUUGCAGAUAAACAAUAUCCAAUUAGAAAUUAAAAAUACUAAUCUGAAUUUAUUUAAAUUUGAAUGACAAGCAUACAAGCAAGUUGUCAAACAGAAUUAAAUGCAAAAUAUAUAUGUAUAUAUAUUUUAAUGGAUUAACACCGUCAGAUUUAAUCACAAUCAGAUAUAGAAUACGCCUUAGAUUGUUAGAACAAAUAUCGCAUAGGAAUCUGAUUGCAAUUAAAAUCUAACUAAUUUUGUAAUAAAGAUAAAAUUAAACUUACAGAUAAAUGCAAAUAUCCAAAUAAAGAUAUGAUCUUAUCCGGAAGCGUGCGAGGCACUGCUCUAAGGCGUAUUCCCGUCCUUACGUGCGGGAUUAAUCGGAAAUAACACCCCAAGGUACGACCGGAAUUCCUCCUCCUGUGAGCACGAGCGUGAAGGAGGUUGACGGAGAUUCUCAACACCCAGUAGAUAAGGGGAAUGUUCAAAAAUGAAAGAUAAAAAUGAAAGAUAAAAGAAUAAAUGGAUAGAGAUUAACCAAUGAUCAAAAAUCUUUUCUACCUGCUCUAUUUUUUCUAUUUGAAAAACAAAGGUGGAAAAGGGGAAGGGGAUUUAACGUCCUUUUUCGUUACGAGAAAAAGGCGUAUCCCGUGCAACGGAAUGAGAUUCCGUUGACGCAAGAAACGGACCAAGAAAUUGAACGGGAAAAAUAUCCCGUUAAUUUCUUUCUCAUUAAGAAACAUAAUAAAAUAAUUAAAUUAAAUAAAAUAAAUAAAGUAAUAAAUAAAUAAAAUAAUAAAUAAUAAAUAAGAAAUAAUAAAACAUCAAAGUGCAAAUAAAAUAAAUUCAAACUUAAAAUUUUGAGUUUUCACCAACAGAUAUAGGCACAAAUUGAAAAGAAGAGAGAGUAUAAAGGAAUGUACGGUAAGGAAAUACAGAGGAUAGUCGUAGUAGAGGAGGAGAAGAAAAAGCAUGUAGAGGAGGAGGGUUGAUACCUUCGCAGCAAAGAUAGAGAGAGAAGUAAAGGAGAGGGAGGAGAAAGAGAAGGAAAUGCUUCAAGAAGAGAGAUAGAUACAAGGUAAGUGAAAUAUGAUUUGGAGAAUAGCAGCUAGGGUUUAGUUUACUAAUAUUCUGUUCACAUAUUAGUUUACUUAUUUUUGUUGCUCAGAUUGUGGAGAGAUAGAUUUGGGGAUUUGGGAUUUGUAUUCCUCUGAGCUCAAUAAACUAUUUUACUCCAUGGCUGCUGCUGCUUCUUCUUCCUCUUCGUCGGCGCUGGUGGCGGAGGCGGUGAGCGGAUCCCACCGGUUCAA